rnacentral:rRNA from 1 species
GACGAACGCUGGCGGCGUGCUUAACACAUGCAAGUCGAACGGAAAGGCCCUGCUUUUGUUGGGUGCUCGAUUGGCGAACGGGUGAGUAACACGUGAGUAACCUGCCCUUGACUUUGGGAUAACUUCAGGAAACUGCGGCGAAUACCGGAUAUGAGCUCCUGCUGCGUGGUGGUGGUUGGAAAGUUUCGGCGGUUGGGGAUAGACUCGCGGCUUAUGCGCUAGUUUGGGGAGUAGUUGCUUACCAAGGCUUUGACGGCUAGCCGACAUGAGAGGGUGAACGGCCACAAUGGGACUGAGAUACGGCGCAGAAUCCAACGGGAGGCAACAGUGGAGAAUCUUGCGCAGUAGGACGAAGCCUGAUGCAAAAAUGCCCCGUGCGGGAUGACGGGGUUCGAGUUGUGAACAGAUUUCGACUGUGACGAAGCGUGCUUGACGGUAAUGGGUCAAGAAGCAGCGGCUAACUACGUG